rnacentral:rRNA from 1 species
AAUCCAUAGGUUAAUGAGGCGAACCGGGGGAACUGAAACAUCUAAGUACCCCGAGGAAAAGAAAUCAACCGAGAUUCCCCCAGUAGCGGCGAGCGAACGGGGAGGAGCCCAGAGCCUGAAUCAGCAUGUGUGUUAGUGGAAGCGUCUGGAAAGGCGCGCGAUACAGGGUGACAGCCCCGUACACAAAAGCGCAUGUGCUGUGAGCUCGAUGAGUAGGGCGGGACACGUGGUAUCCUGUCUGAAUAUGGGGGGACCAUCCUCCAAGGCUAAAUACUCCUGACUGACCGAUAGUGAACCAGUACCGUGAGGGAAAGGCGAAAAGAACCCCGGCGAGGGGAGUGAAAAAGAACCUGAAACCGUGUACGUACAAGCAGUGGGAGCCCCACCACUAAGCCAGUGGUGAACUCCACAUACGCAUCCUUUGCUGAGGAUACGGUUAACGGAGCGAAAGCGACGUUCAACCUCAAAAGAAGCAGAGGGGGCUUAGUGGUGGGGUGACUGCGUACCUUUUGUAUAAUGGGUCAGCGACUUAUAUUCUGUAGCAAGGUUAACCGAAUAGGGGAGCCGGAGGGAAACCGAGUCUUAAUUGGGCGUUAAGUUGCAGGGUAUAGACCCGAAACCCGGUGAUCUAGCCAUGGGCAGGUUGAAGGUUGGGUAACACUAACUGGAGGACCGAACCGACUAAUGUUGAAAAAUUAGCGGAUGACCUGUGGCUGGGGGUGAAAGGCCAAUCAAACCGGGAGAUAGCUGGUUCUCCCCGAAAGCUAUUUAGGUAGCGCCUCGUGAAUUCAUCUCCGGGGGUAGAGCACUGUUUCGGCUAGGGGGCCAUCCCGGCUUACCAACCCGAUGCAAACUGCGAAUACCGGAGAAUGUUAUCACGGGAGACACACGGCGGGUGCUAACGUCCGUCGUGAAGAGGGAAACAACCCAGACCGCCAGCUAAGGUCCCAAAGUCAUGGUUAAGUGGGAAACGAUGUGGGAAGGCCCAGACAGCCAGGAUGUUGGCUUAGAAGCAGCCAUCAUUUAAAGAAAGCGUAAUAGCUCACUGGUCGAGUCGGCCUGCGCGGAAGAUGUAACGGGGCUAAACCAUGCACCGAAGCUGCGGCAGCGACACUCAGGUGUUGUUGGGUAGGGGAGCGUUCUGUAAGCCUGCGAAGGUGGCCUGUGAGGGUUGCUGGAGGUAUCAGAAGUGCGAAUGCUGACAUAAGUAACGAUAAAGCGGGUGAAAAGCCCGCUCGCCGGAAGACCAAGGGUUCCUGUCCAACGUUAAUCGGGGCAGGGUGAGUCGACCCCUAAGGCGAGGCCGAAAGGCGUAGUCGAUGGGAAACGGGUUAAUAUUCCCGUACUUGGUGUUACUGCGAAGGGGGGACGGAGAAGGCUAUGUUGGCCGGGCGACGGUUGUCCCGGUUUAAGCGUGUAGGUGUGUGUUCCAGGUAAAUCCGGUUCACUUUAACACUGAGGCGUGAUGACGAGGCACUACGGUGCUGAAGCAACAAAUGCCCUGCUUCCAGGAAAAGCCUCUAAGCAUCAGGUAACAUCAAAUCGUACCCCAAACCGACACAGGUGGUCAGGUAGAGAAUACCAAGGCGCUUGAGAGAACUCGGGUGAAGGAACUAGGCAAAAUGGUGCCGUAACUUCGGGAGAAGGCACGCUGACACGUAGGUGAAGUGAUUUACUCACGGAGCUGAAGUCAGUCGAAGAUACCAGCUGGCUGCAACUGUUUAUUAAAAACACAGCACUGUGCAAACACGAAAGUGGACGUAUACGGUGUGACGCCUGCCCGGUGCCGGAAGGUUAAUUGAUGGGGUCAGCGCAAGCGAAGCUCCUGAUCGAAGCCCCGGUAAACGGCGGCCGUAACUAUAACGGUCCUAAGGUAGCGAAAUUCCUUGUCGGGUAAGUUCCGACCUGCACGAAUGGCGUAAUGAUGGCCAGGCUGUCUCCACCCGAGACUCAGUGAAAUUGAACUCGCUGUGAAGAUGCAGUGUACCCGCGGCAAGACGGAAAGACCCCGUGAACCUUUACUAUAGCUUGACACUGAACAUUGAGCCUUGAUGUGUAG